rnacentral:lncRNA from 1 species
CAGGCAUCCUCCGCGGCGGGCCGGACCGGGCCGGCGGAGGGGAGCGGAAGCCCACCGGGGCUGGCCCGCCGCUGACCCGCCGCCUCCGUCUGCCUCCUCCCGGGCUCUGGGCCCAGCGCGCCCAGAUGCCGGGCAGGACCCCUCCGCCCGCUGCUGGAACACCAAUAGCAGCGUUGGAGCCUCUGGGCCGGAGGAACUGGGGCCUCCACCGACACCUGCUUCUUCCCUCACCUCGCAGCCUUCCACACCUGUUGAUCUGACCUCUGCCCCGCUGCCGCCCAGGAGUAACCUAAGGCUUUUGGCCUGAUUCGAGCUCACUCCGUCUAAACCUCUAAAUGCGGUGCGAAAAAAUCCUGGGGAAUGUGCCAUGCAAAGCCUGGGCAUUUCAAGUGCUUUUCUGGAUUCGCAUCAACUCCUCUUUACAGGCAUCUUUAUCCGGAAUUCAGCUCGUCCCAAACCCCACGUGGUGUAGCUCUGCUUGUGUUUUUGAAUCCCGGGGCCUCUUUGAAUCAGAAGCCCUUUGUAUAGAGAUAAGUAUCCUUUAGGCCAGAAUCAGCCUCCAUUUUUUUCGCAGUCCCAUUUCCUACCCGUAAUACUUUCUUCUGAUUUUAAAGCCAUUUGAUAGAGAAGGGACAGGGAACAGAACCUUCGCCCCCCGCCUGAGCAGCUGGUAGACUAGAUAUCUUCCAAACAUUAUCUCAUUUACUUCCCUGGAGUUACAAAUAGGUAGAUUUCAUGUCCGUUGAGGGGUGAGAAAGCUGAAACUUUGAGACUUAAGAAUCCUGGCCGAGGUCAGCCUCCUCCGAAGCUUCAUCUCUUGCCACCACUUUCUGGUGCACACCUAGGACAGAUUUCAAUCCCUGAGAUCCCAGGAUGAAACCUAUGUUUGCCAAAUACCAGCUACUGUGCCAGAAGAGAUCAUGGAACCAGGUGUGGAAAGCUGCUUGAGAAGAGGAGCCAAAACAUCAUAGUUGAACCGUCCUGGAAUAGAAACUCGCCCUGAAUUCUUUCUUGUGUGAAAUCCAAGAGCCCUCUCUUGGGGUUGGAUCGGGACCCUGUUCCUGUAACAAGUCCACAAUGCCAGAGAAUUAAAGAGAACCACAAAGCUGAACCUCAAAAAGUUAGCCUGGCGAGGGGAGGAUGAUGAGAUUUCCCCUGUUGUCACAUAAACAAGGAAGUAAAGGGGGCCCCUUGUGCUCUCAGAACUCCAAGCAUGAAACGAUUUUCUGCCAUUUCAGUUCCUGUUAUCGUGCUUUGAGGUGCACUGAACUGCAGCAAACCCAGGGGAUCCAAGGCUACGUUGAAAAGCCUUUGACCACAGUGCAGGGAGCAGAAGACAUUAAUGACGUGAUGUCGACACAGCCCGCACUCAGGAUCCUCCAGGAAAAGAACACAGAGAUAACCCCGGAUCGAUGGUACUUUUUGAAAAUGCUUUAUUGCAAAAGAGUGGCUAGGGUUUUACAAGGGCUAUGAAGAAACAUAUUAAGGUUAAUAAAGCUUUUUAUUGAGUGUUUACUGAGUGUUACUAUGUGCUUUACAUCUAUUAACUCAUUUCAUCUUCAAAACAACCCUAUAAAGAUGUUACAACUAUAAUCCUAACCUUACAAAUGAAACAACUGAGGCACAGUGAAGUGCAGUGGCCUGCCCAGGUAAAAAGCAAGACAGAAUUUGAACCCAGGCAGCCUGACCCCAGGGUCCAGGUAUUAAACCAUUCUGCUAUAGUGCCUCUAAGAUAACAGAGAAACUUGAUGAAUUACUGGGUUACUGAAUUUUAGUUUACAUAGGUUGUUUUUUUCCCCUUAAGAGUAGAACAAAACAUACCUGAAGUAUGGAAAAUAACAUUUAUU